rnacentral:rRNA from 1 species
AGAACGAACGCUGGCGGCGUGGAUAAGACAUGCAAGUCGAGCGCUGAUCAAAGGGUAGCAAUAUUCUUUGGUUGGAGCGGCGCAAGGGUGCGUAACACGUGGGUAAUUUGCCAUGAAGUUGGGGAUAACUUGCUGAAAGGCGAGCUAAUACCGAAUAUGGCCCGAGAGAGGCAUCUCUUUUUGGCUAAAGCUGGGGACCGCAAGGCCUGGCGCUACAUGAUAAACCCGCGGCCUAUCAGCUAGUUGGUGAGGUAACGGCCCACCAAGGCUAAGACGGGUAGCUGGUCUGAGAGGACGACCAGCCACACUGGAACUGAGACACGGUCCAGACACCUACGGGUGGCAGCAGUCGAGAAUUUUUCACAAUGGACGAAAGUCUGAUGGAGCGACGCCGCGUGGAGGAUGAAGGUUUUCGGAUUGUAAACUCCUGUCACUGCAGAACAAGGAUGCAUUUAUGAAUAGUACGUGCAUUUGAUGGUAUGA